CUCUCUGGAGAUGAAGUGGGUGUACUCAUCAGCCCCUGGUCUCGGAACUCAAGGGAAAGAAAGACAGCGUAUCCACAGGAGGAAUAAGGGCACACUCCAUGGCAGUACCUGGUGAUGGGAAUUUAAGGGCAUCUGCAUAGGAGUGCCUGCUUUCCCUCUGGAGGACACUGAUGUUCAGGGGGUUGGCUUGCUUUCAAAGACUGUGGAAUAGAUAUGGUGACCUGCCCAGCAGAUCAGACAAAAGAGAAGAAGCAGCACCAAGAUGAAGCAGAGCUUUUCAACUUCAAUCCUGUCAGCAUUUUAGGUAUCAGUCAUUUGGGGACAUUUUGUAAAAUAUGAAGAAGAGACACUGCACCAUUCUGCGG